GGGAUUAUAGUUAAUAAUAACAUUUGAUUUGCAUUCAAAAAGUAUUGUAAAAACAAUUUAUCUC
rnacentral:tRNA from 1 species